AUUGAACGCUGGCGGCAUGCUUUACACAUGCAAGUCGAACGGUAACAGGCCGCAAGGUGCUGACGAGUGGCGAACGGGUGAGUAAUGCAUCGGAACGUGCCCAGUCGUGGGGGAUAACGCAGCGAAAGCUGCGCUAAUACCGCAUACGAUCUGUGGAUGAAAGCGGGGGACCGUAAGGCCUCGCGCGAUUGUAGCGGCCGAUGUCAGAUUAGGUAGUUGGUGGGGUAAAGGCUCACCAAGCCAACGAUCUGUAGCUGGUCUGAGAGGACGACCAGCCACACUGGGACUGAGACACGGCCCAGACUCCUAUGGGAGGCAGCAGUGGGGAAUUUUGGACAAUGGGCGCAAGCCUGAUCCAGCAAUGCCGCGUGCAGGAAGAAGGCCUUCGGGUUGUAAACUGCUUUUGUACGGAACGAAAAGGCUCUGGUUAAUACCUGGGGCUCAUGACGGUACCGUAAGAAUAAGCACCGGCUAACUACGUGCCAGCCGCCGCCGUAAAAC
rnacentral:rRNA from 1 species